rnacentral:lncRNA from 1 species
AUGCUAGAGUGCAGAAGCUUUGGAAGGAACAACACAAAAAUGGCAUGUGUUGAUGACAGCAUCUAUGUUAGCAGGUUUUCAGCAUCUCAGCAGAUCUAUGUACAGCUUCUAAGGACACCCAGAUCAGGAGUCAAAGCACUCUCAGCUCCUAAACGAUACAGAAAAGUACAUCUAAAACCAACAUGUCAUUGUCAACCUAAGAACAACCCAGGAGACAUGCAAAUUAUCUGUAAGGACGGCUCUCUCAUCCCUGAAUCUGCCUAUGCUUCCUCUGCAAAGCCUAGACCCUCAAAGGCUUCUGUGUGCACAUCUCGAGUGUGGCAGGAGAAGGCUGGGCUGCCAUAUUCUCAGACCAUAGUAGGAAGAUGGACUUCUAUCGCUGCAACCUUAUCACCACGUCUGCAGGGCAGGAGUACUGCAGCCUUGGACUUGUAG